rnacentral:rRNA from 1 species
AUUGAACGCUGGCGGCAUGCCUUACACAUGCAAGUCGAACGGCAGCACGGGAGCAAUCCUGGUGGCGAGUGGCGAACGGGUGAGUAAAGUAUCGGAACGUGCCCAGUCGUGGGGGAUAACGUAGCGAAAGUUACGCUAAUACCGCAUACGAUCUAUGGAUGAAAGAGGGGGAUCGCAAGACCUCGCGCGAUUGGAGCGGCAGAUAUCAGAUUAGGUAGUUGGUGGGGUAAAGGCUCACCAAGCCGACGAUCUGUAGCUGGUCUGAGAGGACGACCAGCCAAACGGGGACUGAGACACGGCCCAGACUCCUACGGGAGGCAGCAGUGGGGUAUUUUGGACAAUGGGCGAAAGCCUGAUCCAGCCAUGCCGCGUGCAGGAUGAAGUCCUUCGGGUUGUAAACUGCUUUUGUACGGAACGAAAAGGUUUGGCCUAAUAAGCUGAGCUCAUGACGGUACCGUAAGAAUAAGCACCGGCUAACUACGUGCCAGCCGCCGCAGUAA